rnacentral:rRNA from 1 species
GACGAACCGUGCGAACGUUGUUCGGAUUCACUGGGCUUAAAGGGCGCGUAGGCGGCGGAUCAAGUCUGUGGUGAAAUCUUUCGGCUCAACCGGAAAACGGCCGUGGAUACUGAUCCGCUCGAGGGGGGUAGGGGCCGUGGGAACUGCCGGUGGAGCGGUGAAAUGCGCAGAUAUCAGGAGGAACACCGGUGGCGAAGGCGGUGGUCUGGGCCGGAACUGACGCUGAGGAGCGAAAGCGUGGGGAGCGAACAGG